UACAGAGGUCUCAAGCGUUGUUCGGAUUCAUUGGGCGUAAAGGGUGCGUAGGUGGCGCCGUAAGUCAGGUGUGAAAUUUCGGAGCUUAACUCCGAAACUGCAUUUGAUACUGCGGUGCUUGAGGACUGGAGAGGAGACUGGAAUUUACGGUGUAGCAGUGAAAUGCGUAGAGAUCGUAAGGAAGACCAGUGGCGAAGGCGGGUCUCUGGACAGUUCC
rnacentral:rRNA from 1 species